CUCCCGUUUCUCUUUCUGCUGAAAACGCCAUUGAAAUGACUCUUAUUUUUCUUUCAAUUCUCAGUGCAUCUUCAUUCAUCUUCUCCUCAAAUUGUCCGAUUAACUUUUCGAUCACUCACAACACUAUGAAAUUGCAAUCAUUUUGGCCAUUAAUGGCGGCGGUUCAUUCACUUCUUUUCUGUUUUGUUCCUAAGAAAGAUAGAAAAAAAUCUUUUUUUAAUAUCAUAUGCUAAACGCAUUUUCACCUUUGCUUAUAGACUGGUUGCGUUUUGCGACACUUUUGCUAUAUACAUUUCAUGUUUUUUUUUCAUCAUAUAAUUUUGUUCAACUUGCUGAUCGGAAUCAUUUUUCGUUUUGCUUUUUCAUCUGGAACUUCUUUCAGAUCAUCAAGUUUUCGAAUGAUACGAUAUGUAAUCACUCCCAGCCAUUGCGAACAUGCCGUUGCUUGGUUUUUCAGUUGAAUGCUGAAAUUUGACAUUGGUGUGUAAUGAACUUAGUUUGUCCUUGCUGAAGACUAUUGCAUGCAAAGCAUAUUGAUGCAACUUUGAGUAAGAAAUUAGCCGUGCCCCAGAUGGAGAUUAUAACACAGCUCUAGAUGAGAUCUUCUGUUCUUGGAUUUUGUGUACCGUAGGAAGUGUGUGCUAUGAGCAUGAGUGCAAUGUCAUGAUGGCAGUAUUAACCCCUCAGCAGAAUGCUUAAUUAUGCCUUAAAUUAUGUUGACCUAUGCAGUCUUAUUAUUAAAAGGAGUCAAGUUCUGCUUCCGUGAUCAAUCUUACGAGAAAUUACCUUCCAAUACCAUAUCCAAAGUUCCUUGCUGCACCUGAACUGAUAUGGCUCUCUGUCAGAUGAAAAUCCCCUGAAUGGUAGACUAAUCUACACUGCUUCAGUUUCACAGUAGUAUCAGGCAUCUUGAAGACAUGAAGCAUAGCGUCUGACUUCUGUUUUUCCCUUCUGCAAUUGCAAAGAAGGAUUAGAGAUUGAUCUCCAAAUACUGAACAGAUGACAUGACAAAGACAUGUUAUAGAGUUGGAUACCUUGAGUGAAGCAGUGGUACCUAGAACCUAGUGCUAUCCAUGAAUGUCAUUAUCUGCUUAAUAACGACAAGAGGGACUGAGUAGAAGUAAGAAGAUAAGGUUCAGAUUAACACCAACUGUGUCAUCUUGGUAGAAAGUUUAGGACCGGUAUCCACUUCUCUUUUUUCAAAAAAGGUUUGACUCGUAUACUCAGUAGUACCACAUUCAAGUCAGACAAGUUAGGAGAUGAGUGUGCCCUAGCUGACCAUUAUCAAGAAAUGGACUUCACGUGGUGUCCGGGUCAAUUUGCUCGCACCUUGAGUAUCCCACCGAAAAGCCUGCGGUACACAUGGCGCGAAAUCAGCUCACCAUGGUAGAGCAGAUAGGCUUAUACCGAGUGUUAUAGCUUAGCUUUGAACCUGAGAUCUCAGUUGAAUGGAGUCGAGAGUGAUGGCACGCAAAACCUUUACAAAGUGAAUGGUACUGUCUUGAAGGUUGGUCCAGUAGUUGCAUCAUGGUAGUUCUUGCAUCAAAGAUCCUCCUAACCAUCCAACAUGCACAUUGUGGCACCUUCACGAUAGCAAAUUGCUGCCCCUUGAUGUAAUAGCUAUGAAUCCAUCCAUAACCUGUCAGUUUUAUGUGCUAAGUCCCAACAGGUUUUCAAUACUGCUGCUCUAUUCCAUAGCCUUAAGUUCAUGAGGUUGAGUCCACCUGCAGAUUUAGGGGAGCAAACCAUUUCCCAUGCAACCAAAGCCUUCUUACUUAUUGUGUUGACUCCUGACCAAACAUAACUACGACAGUAUGCAUCUAUGAUACCCAAUUUCUUGGCAAGGA